rnacentral:rRNA from 1 species
CACCUCUAGCAUUACUAGUAUUAGAGGCACUGCCUGCCCAGUGACAUCUGUUUAACGGCCGCGGUACCCUGACCGUGCAAAGGUAGCAUAAUCGCUUGUUCUUUAAAUAGGGACUUGUAUGAAUGGCAACACGAGGGUUUAACUGUCUCUUACUUUCAACCAGUGAAAUUGACCUGCCCGUGAAGAGGCGGGCAUAUAACAAUAAGACGAGAAGACCCUGUGGAGCUUCAAUCUACUAAUGCAACCAAGAUUAAUACAAACCCACGGGCCUAAUAUAAUCCACCCCUGCAUUAGAAAUUUUGGUUGGGGUGACCUCGGAGCAUAAUUAAACCUCCGAAUUAAAUCACGCCAAGACUACACAAGUCAAAGCAACUUAAUAUUUAUAAUUGAUCCAAUAACUUGACCAACGGAACAAGUUACCCCAGGGAUAACAGCGCAAUCCUAUUCCAGAGUCCAUAUCGACAAUAGGGUUUACGACCUCGAUGUUGGAUCAGGACAUCCUAAUGGUGCAGCAGCUAUCAAGGGUUCGUUUGUUCAACGAUUAAUAGUCCU